rnacentral:rRNA from 1 species
GAUGAACGCUGGCGGCGUGCUUAACACAUGCAAGUCGAACGGAAAGGCCCAAGCUUGCUUGGGUACUCGAGUGGCGAACGGGUGAGUAACACGUGGGUGAUCUUCCCUGCACUUCGGGAUAAGCCUGGGAAACUGGUUCUAAUACCGGAGAGGACCACAUUUUGGAUGGUGUGGUGGAAAGUUUUUCGGUGUGGGAUGAGCUCGCGGCCUAUCAGCUUGUUGGUGGGGUAAUGGCCUACCAAGGCGUCGACGGGUAGCCGGCCUGAGAGGGUGUACGGCCACAUUGGGACUGAGGUACGGCCCAGACUCCUACGGGAGGCAGCAGUGGGGAAUAUUACACAAUGGGGGCGAGCCUGAUGCAGCGACGCCGCGUGGGGGAUGACGGCCUUCGGGUUGGAAACGCCUUUCACUAGGGGCGAAGCGCAAGUGACGGUACCAGGAGAAGAAGCACCGGCUAACUACGUG